rnacentral:lncRNA from 1 species
CUUAGCAACCAGGUCCUGGCUCUUUUCCUACACCCAGGACUGGGAAAGCCAGGCCAGGGUCCUGAAUGUUGAAUUAUAGAGCUCCUCAGUACUUCGAUUUCAGCGGGCUGUGGCUCCGUGGAGGAGAGGACAGCACGAUGACCUUGGUUUAAAUCUUGACGGUGACACUUGCUCACCGAGAGACCUUAGACACCAGGAGCCAUCGCUAGCAGCUUCGCUGGAUCAUCAUGGAGGCUGGAUCUGCUCUCCUGCAGAUCUUUACCUUAGUGGUAAAAAGAACAAAAGGCAGCCACCCACGCGUCCUGCCAGACCUUUCUGGAAAGCAGGAGGCCGCCACCUGCCAGGCCAGGAUGCAGACAGACAGCUCGGAUGAGAGUCACUGUGAAGACCCACCAACCUGAAACUGUGCUCGGUUCUAGAGAGCUGGCAGAGGGAGCAAAAACCUAACUUCUCAGCAGCCUGAUUCAUCGGUAUUUAAUGUGGUCCCUCAACUACCCUAACUAGCGGAGAGGAACCUCCAGUGGCUUUGUUCAGCAGUACCCCUGUCCCACGCUUUGGGAAUCAUUCUGGGACGCUUGGCACUUAAAACGGGUCCAAAGGAACUUCCUCAAAGUGAUUGUUAC